AUGCCAAACUGGAAAGAGUUAAAACGCAAAUACAUAGCUCGACUGCAGCAACAGGUCACUAAUAGCGGUCGUCGAAGCGUCCUCCUCCCCUGGGGCGGUCAUACGGCGCAGGCCUCUCCCUGUAACCUCCUCCCUCGUAGCGAGCAGGCCCUCCGCUGCCAUAGUCGGCGCCGCCUCCACGUGGACCGUCCCUGUCAUAGCCACCACCGAUGCCGCCCCUUGGGCCGUCCCUGUCAUAGCUUGCACCGCCCCUUGGGCCACUCCUGUCAUAGGCGCCACCACCACGAAUUCCAUCUCUCUCGUAGCUUCUCUCCCGCUCCCUGCCAUAGCCACCUCCACCACCACUUGGUGCAUAACGGUCUGGAGCUGCACCAUACCUGUCUGCACCAAAGCGGUCACCACCAGAGGGGUACCGGUCACUGGCAUAACGAUCACGGCCCCCGUCAUAUCUGUCUCUGCUGUCAAUAG
rnacentral:rRNA from 1 species